UCAGGAUGAACGCUGGCGGCGUGCUUAACACAUGCAAGUCGAACGGUGAAGGGGAGCUUGCUCUCUGGAUCAGUGGCGAACGGGUGAGUAACACGUGAGCAAUCUGCCCCUGACUCUGGGAUAACAGUUGGAAACAGCUGCUAAUACUGGAUACGAGACGUGAAGGCAUCUUCAACGUCUGGAAAGAAUUUCGGUCAGGGAUGAGCUCGCGGCCUAUCAGCUUGUUGGUGAGGUAACGGCUCACCAAGGCGUCGACGGGUAGCCGGCCUGAGAGGGUGACCGGCCACACUGGGACUGAGACACGGCCCAGACUCCUACGGGAGGCAGCAGUGGGGAAUAUUGCACAAUGGGCGAAAGCCUGAUGCAGCAACGCCGCGUGAGGGACGACGGCCUUCGGGUUGUAAACCUCUUUUAGCAGGGAAGAAGCGAAAG
rnacentral:rRNA from 1 species